rnacentral:rRNA from 1 species
UAAUACGUAGGAUCCGAGCGUUAUCCGAAUUUACUGGGCGUAAAGCGCGUGUAGGCGGUCGGGUAAGUUGGACGUGAAAUCUCCUGGCUCAACUAGGAGAGGUCGUUCAAAACUGCCUGGCUAGAUGGCGACAGAGGGAGGUGGAAUUCCCGGUGUAGUGGUGAAAUGCGUAGAUAUCGGGAGGAACACCAGUGGCGAAGGCGGCCUCCUGGGUCGCACCUGACGCUCAGACGCGAAAGCUAGGGGAGCAAACGGGAUUAGAUACCCCGGUAGUCCUAGCUGUAAACGAUGUGGACUUGGCGUUGGUGGGGUUAAAUCCAUCAGUGCCGUAGCUAACGCGAUAAGUCCACCGCCUGGGGACUACGGUCGCAAGAUUA